rnacentral:rRNA from 1 species
GAGUUUGAUCGUGGCUCAGAUUGAACGCUGGCGGCAUGCCUUACACAUGCAAGUCGAACGGCAGCAUGAUCUAGCUUGCUAGAUUGAUGGCGAGUGGCGAACGGGUGAGUAAUACAUCGGAACGUGCCCUGUAGUGGGGGAUAACUAGUCGAAAGAUUAGCUAAUACCGCAUACGACCUGAGGGUGAAAGUGGGGGACCGCAAGGCCUCAUGCUAUAGGAGCGGCCGAUGUCUGAUUAGCUAGUUGGUGGGGUAAAGGCCCACCAAGGCGACGAUCAGUAGCUGGUCUGAGAGGACGAUCAGCCACACUGGGACUGAGACACGGCCCAGACUCCUACGGGAGGCAGCAGUGGGGAAUUUUGGACAAUGGGGGCAACCCUGAUCCAGCAAUGCCGCGUGUGUGAGAAGGCCUCGGUGUAG